GACGAACGCUGGCGGCGUGCUUAACACAUGCAAGUCGAACGGAAAGGCCCUGCUUUUGUGGGGUGCUCGAGUGGCGAACGGGUGAGUAACACGUGAGUAACCUGCCCUUGACUUUGGGAUAACUUCAGGAAACUGGGGCUAAUACCGGAUAGGAGCUCCUGCUGCAUGGUGGGGGUUGGAAAGUUUCGGCGGUUGGGGAUGGACUCGCGGGUUAUCAGCUUGUUGGUGGGGUAGUGGCUUACCAAGGCUUUGACGGGUAGCCGGCCUGAGAGGGUGACCGGCCACAUUGGGACUGAGAUACGGCCCAGACUACUACGGGAGGCAGCAGUGGGGAAUAUUGCACAAUGGGCGGAAGCCUGAUGCAGCAACGCCGCGUGCGGGAUUACGGCCUUCGGGUUGUAAACAGCUUUCGCCUGUGACGAAGCGUGAGUGACGGUAAUGGGUAAAGAAGCACCGGCUAACUACGUG
rnacentral:rRNA from 1 species